AACUCAGGUCUUCCUGAUUUCAAACCCAGUACUCUAUCCACUGCUCCUGAAUUAGAUGACCUUUCGAGCUGUCUAGACUGUUAGGAUCCAGUCACUUUGUUUUCCUUUAUUUGUCUCCUUAAGCACUUAGCCCAGUGCUUGGUACAUAGCAGUAAGUGCUUAAUAAACACUACUUAACUGAGUGAUUCCCUUCAUUUUAUAGAGGAGGAAGCUUCCGGGGCCCAGAGAGCUUACAGCAGUAAGGGACAGAACUCAUGUUCGAACACAUGUUAUCUGACUUGAGACACAGUUCUUUUCCCAAUGGACCGUGCUGUUGAGUUUGAACUGAGUUCAUCGUAACCCCCCACACAGUGACCUUUGCAUUAUACCGUGAUCUCUGUCCUUUAAAAGCAGGAUCACCAGCAUAUAAAAUCAUGGAUAUGACAGUCUCAGAGAAGGUAUGCAUGAGUUUGGCUCUUCCAGAUGCCUUUGGCUGACUCAAGGAGGCAAGAAUUCACUAGGGGAGGAAUGUAGCAUGCUCUUGUGUGUUAGAAAAGAAUUUGUUGUUUCUUCCACUCCCCUCUCCUAUCCUGGAGAGAAUGAGGCAUAGUAUAAAAAGGAUGGAAGGAUAUUUUUCAGGACCUGGUUGGGUAAAGCAAAUGGCACUGAGGCUAUUCAAAGGAUUGGAUCUGUAAAGGGAGUUUACCAAAUGUCUGGUCUUUGACCAUGUGGAAGCUGCGUAUCAAACAAGACUCUUCAUCCUACCCUGUUGAAAGAUGUCAGGUCACAGAUCCAGGGUGUCCUGAGAAGGUGACUUGUGUCCAGGGUUGGCGUUCUGGGCUAGGGAGUUGUCGUAAGCCCUCAGUGGUGUACUAAGAGAGAGGCAAGUCCAGAGUCUUAUAGAAUUUCCAGGGAUGCUGAGAGGGCAAGCAACCAGAUCACCCAAUCACACAACUGGAUCACACAAUCAGUAUCAGUUAAAGACGUUCCUAUUUAUGGAUAACAAUUCUGCUGAUUGAAUCAUCAAGUCCCAAGACAUUGAAGAAAUUUCUAGAAGAAAUCUGUAUUUACUUGAGAGUUUGGCUUCUCCAUCCACACAGGGAAGACCAAAUGGAUGAAGAAUCUCAGUUGCCCAGAUUUCAGCAUGCAUUAGGAUGGACACUCUAUGGAGUUCCUCCAGCGUAACAGCAAAGUGAAGAGCUUCUUGUAAAGAAGAGGAUGCCAGAAUUCAGACUUCUACAGAAGAAAGGAGAAGUUCUGGGAAACAUCCUCCUCUUGGAGAGAAGAGGAUCAUAUGCAUGAUUUUGCAACUGAAGGAGCAGAAUAGGACGGAACCCUGACACAGAGAAGCAAAAUACUUGGACUUUGCCAUCCAGUGUUGCUGUAAAUUAUUUGAACAGUGAAGGUGAGACAGGAAAAGGGCUGCAUUUCUAAAAACUCAAAUUUGUUUUCCUUCUGAUAUUCAUCUAAGACUAAAUUCUCAAGAUAGUACCAUAGGCAGAAAGCCUAUAUGUGUAAGGGUGGGGCACCAUUGAUUAUCUCAAUCUACUUAAAUCAAUUACUUUUGUUAGGUAAGACCACAUUGAUUAAAUCAGUCUAUCAGAACUGAGCGUGAGCAGGGCACAUAAGCCUCCUUGAAAUCAUCAAAGCCAGGUGUGUGAGAGACACCUUAGGGAGUUUGUAUGAAACGUUCUACCUUGUUCUCUCUCAGAACCAGAUAAAGAUUCUUAGCCUUUAGAAAUGAACAAGGAGAAGUGGGGUCAUAAGAAGUGGAACCAGAAAGUACUGGAAGCCCAAAAGCAACCAGCAAAGGAGAAGAGAAGUUGGAAGUAAACUAUGACAGAGAAUAGGAAUAUUAAGAAAGACCAUCAGACCUCCAGUCACCUUAAAUUUUACUUAAGGACUGAGGAAGUCCUGAGACAAGGUUUGCUCUUUCCCCAACUUCCUGUCCUGGUGUCUAUCCACAAAUAUUUUUAGUUUAUUCCACAAAUGUUUAAGUGAAUAAGUUUAUAGAUAUUUUGAUUGUAAAUUAUAUUUUACGGGGUUAAGA